rnacentral:lncRNA from 1 species
GGUUUAUCAUGUAGGUUCAGGGUCAGAUCCUGCUGCUGUAGCUGUUGUUGCUGCUUUUCAAAAUAUGCUUGUCUUCUCCUGCGCAGAUCUUCUGAAGAAAGAGAGUCUGUCUGACUGGUGUGUGGCGGCUGAGAAGCAUUCUGUGGUAACGAGUUUGAGAACUCACUUUGACGACUACCUUGCAUGCUGAGUUGAAUGGCUCUACGAAGAUCAGCUUCUUCAUCUUCCAUAUCAAUUUCCUGCCUACUUAGAGCCAGAGCUCUUUGAAAAUUCUCCUCAUCUUCAUCUAACAUGCCUGUCCCAUCAAAAGGAUGGCUAACUUCUAUUGCUUGGUCCACAUCACUUCUGGGUAGCCUCUGGUCUCUUGACUGUGCAGUCUCUUCUCCAAUUAGUUUUGGUCGCUGUACCUGCUGAACUCGAAUCAUCUGCAACAGCUGAUCAGCCUCACAGUCUGGCAGGUCACCUUUUACUACAAAUAUGGAAUAACCUUCCUGUUGUAAUUGCGCCAAGAAAAGUGCAAGAUAUGUAUCUGAUAUUAGUUCUGGACCCAUCAAGAGAGAGUUCAAGUUAAACCACUGUUUUCCUAACUUUCGAACUGUAAACCAGUGUUCCUUAUAAUUACAAAUAAAUGAUUUUUCAUUUAUAGGGUCGAUGCCAAGCCUCUGAUACUCUGGGCUGUUGAAGAGGAUUAGUUCUAAACCCCACACUUUCAAGGCAUUGCUUAUAACUUGAAUUGAGAAGAAUCCACUGUCAUCCAUGUUUACAGAAGGCUGCUGUAAAAAUGUUCUAUAUUCUUCGCUAGACACUCCUCCCUCCGCCAUUCUCAUUCUUUCUUCCUCAUCUAACUGCUGUGCAAUGGAGGAUAACUCCACAGGACUGAAGUACUCUCCUUGUAACAAAUUAUUCAGACAGUGCUGAGCACAUAAUGAG